rnacentral:rRNA from 1 species
AUUGAACGCUGGCGGCAGGCUUAACACAUGCAAGUCGAGCGGGGGAAGGUAGCUUGCUACCGGACCUAGCGGCGGACGGGUGAGUAAUGCUUAGGAAUCUGCCUAUUAGUGGGGGACAACAUCUCGAAAGGGAUGCUAAUACCGCAUACGUCCUACGGGAGAAAGCAGGGGAUCUUCGGACCUUGCGCUAAUAGAUGAGCCUAAGUCGGAUUAGCUAGUUGGUGGGGUAAAGGCCUACCAAGGCGACGAUCUGUAGCGGGUCUGAGAGGAUGAUCCGCCACACUGGGACUGAGACACGGCCCAGACUCCUACGGGAGGCAGCAGUGGGGAAUAUUGGACAAUGGGGGGAACCCUGAUCCAGCCAUGCCGCGUGUGUGAAGAAGGCCUUAUGGUUGUAAAGCACUUUAAGCGAGGAGGAGGCUACUUUAGUUAAUACCUAGAGAUAGUGGACGUUACUCGCAGAAUAAGCACCGGCUAACUCUGUGCCAGCAGCCGCGGUAAUACAGAGGGUGCGAGCGUUAAUCGGAUUUACUGGGCGUAAAGCGUGCGUAGGCGGCUUAUUAAGUCGGAUGUGAAAUCCCCGAGCUUAACUUGGGAAUUGCAUUCGAUACUGGUGAGCUAGAGUAUGGGAGAGGAUGGUAGAAUUCCAGGUGUAGCGGUGAAAUGCGUAGAGAUCUGG